rnacentral:rRNA from 1 species
CCUACGGGCGGCAGCAGUGGGGGAUAUUGCACAAUGGGGGGAACCCUGAUGCAGCGACGCCGCGUGGGUGAAGAAGCGUCUCGGCGCGUACAGCCCUUUCAGCAGGGAAGAUAAUGACGGUAUCUGAAGAAUAAGCCCCGGCUAACUACGUGCCAGCAGCCGCGGUAAUACGUAGGGGGCAAGCGUUACCCGGAUUUACUGGGUGUAAAGGGCGCGCAGACGGGAAUGCAAGCCAGGGGUGAAAGCCUGGGGCUCAACCCCAGGACUGCACUGGGAACUGGGUGUCUGGAGUGUGGGAGGGGGAGGCGGAAUGCGUGGUGUAGGGGUGAAAUGCGUAGAUAUCAGGAGGAACACCGGUGGCGAAGGCGACCUGCUGGACUGCAACUGACGUUGAGGCGCGAAAGCGUGGGGAGCAAACAGGAGUAGAGACCCCAGUAGUC